rnacentral:rRNA from 1 species
AACUUUCAACAAUGGAUCUCUUGGCUCUGGCAUCGAUGAAGAACGCAGCGAAAUGCGAUAAGUAAUAUGAAUUGCAGAAUUCAGUGAAUCAUCGAAUCUUUGAACGCACAUUGCGCCCUCUGGUAUUCCGGAGGGCAUGCCUGUUUGAGUGUCAUU